rnacentral:rRNA from 1 species
CCCAAACCCAAUGUGAACGUUACCAAACUGUUGCCUCGGCGGGAUCUCUGCCCCGGGUGCGUCGCAGCCCCGGACCAAGGCGCCCGCCGGAGGACCAACCAAAACUCUUAUUGUAUACCCCCUCGCGGGUUUUUUUAUAAUCUGAGCCUUCUCGGCGCCUCUCGUAGGCGUUUCGAAAAUGAAUCAAAACUUUCAACAACGGAUCUCUUGGUUCUGGCAUCGAUGAAGAACGCAGCGAAAUGCGAUAAGUAAUGUGAAUUGCAGAAUUCAGUGAAUCAUCGAAUCUUUGAACGCACAUUGCGCCCGCCAGUAUUCUGGCGGGCAUGCCUGUCCGAGCGUCAUUUCAACCCUCGAACCCCUCCGGGGGGUCGGCGUUGGGGAUCGGCCCUGCCUUGGCGGUGGCCGUCUCCGAAAUACAGUGGCGGUCUCGCCGCAGCCUCUCCUGCGCAGUAGUUUGCACACUCGCAUCGGGAGCGCGGCGCGUCCACAGCCGUUAAACACCCAACUUCUGAAAUGUUGACCUCGGAUCAGGUAGGAAUACCCGCUGAACUUAAGCA